rnacentral:rRNA from 1 species
AUUGAACGCUGGCGGCAGGCUUAACACAUGCAAGUCGAACGAGUGGCGGACGGGUGAGUAAUGUAUGGGAAACUGCCCAAUGGAGGGGGAUAACUACUGGAAACGGUAGCUAAUACCGCAUACCAUCAGAGGUGCCCAGAUGGGAUUAGCUAGUUGGUGGGGUAACGGCUCACCAAGGCGACGAUCCCUAGCUGGUCUGAGAGGAUGACCCGCCACACUGGAACUGAGCCACUGUCCAGACUCCUACGGGAGGCAGCAGUGGGGAAUUUUGCACAGUGGGCGCAACCCUGAUGCAGCCAUCCCGCGUGUAUGAAGAAGGCCUUCGGGUUGUAAAGUCCUUUCAGCGGGGAGGCGGUACCCGCAGAAUAAGCACCGGCUAACUCCGUGCCAGCCGCCGCGGUAAUAC